UACGUAGGGUGCGAGCGUUAAUCGGAAUUACUGGGCGUAAAGCGUGCGCAGGCGGUUUUGUAAGCCAGAUGUGAAAUCCCCGGGCUUAACCUGGGAAUGGCAUUUGGGACUGCAAGGCUCGAGUGCGGCAGAGGAGACUGGAAUUCCUGGUGUAGCAGUGAAAUGCGUAGAUAUCAGGAGGAACACCGAUGGCGAAGGCGGGACUCUGGGCCGAUACUGACGCUGAGGAGCGAAAGCGUGGGAGCAAACAGG
rnacentral:rRNA from 1 species